rnacentral:rRNA from 1 species
UACGGAGGGGGGCUAGCGUUGUUCGGAAUUACUGGGCGUAAAGCGCGCGUAGGCGGACCUGCAAGUCGGGGGUGAAAGCCCGAGGCUCAACCUCGGAACUGCCUUCGAUACUGCGGGUCUCGAGUCCGGGAGAGGUGAGUGGAAUUCCUAGUGUAGAGGUGAAAUUCGUAGAUAUUAGGAAGAACACCAGUGGCGAAGGCGGCUCACUGGCUCGGUACUGACGCUGAGGCGACGAAAGCGUGGGGAGCAAACAGG